AUCUAAGAAUUCACUUUGUGGUGUUGGAACUUUUUCUCCGCUGCAUUCUGUAUCGGAGUCAGUGCUCUCUCUUUGGGGUGAUGGUGUUAGUCUUGUCUUGUCUUUUAUUUCCAAACCAGUGGUGUCUAUCUGUGGUACGUCAACUGGUUCAGUCAUGUCUUCUGUGUCAAGGUCAGAUGUAUAUUGUUGUGGUGAUUGCAUCACUCCAGUUGUGUCUUCCAUUUCAUCCUCAAUUGUUUCCAUUUGAGGUGAGGACACGAGUUCUUUGAUUUCUCCUUCAUCAGCAUCAACGAUUUCCUCCAUAUCUGGAACAAAAACUGGUAGAGAUAUGUUUUCAA